CAGCCGCCACGGUAAUACGGAGGGGGCUAGCGUUGUUCGGAAUUAUUGGGCGUAAAGGGUGCGUAGGCGGUUUGAUAAGUCAUCUGUGAAAUCUCUGGGCUCAACCCAGAGUCUGCAGGCGAAACUGUCGGGCUUGAGUAUGGGAGAGGUGAGUGGAAUUUCCGGUGUAGCGGUGAAAUGCGUAGAUAUCGGAAGGAACACCUGUGGCGAAAGCGGCUCACUGGACCAUAACUGACGCUGAUGCACGAAAGCUAGGGGAGCAAACAGGAUUAGAUACCCGGGUAGUCCCUGUCUCUUAUAA
rnacentral:rRNA from 1 species